UACCUUAACGGCGGCCGGUGAAUCACCGCGCGGCGUCUUUGCAAGCGCGGCGGGUGGCGAACUUCCGUAUGGAGGGAUCGGUAGCCGUAUUCGGGGACCGAGGGCGUAUCGUAACUAUUCGUCACAACCUUAUAUUGUACAAAAUCUAUAAUUUUAUCAGUCUAAGUGUCUUUAAUGCCAUUAAAUUUUUUCCUGGUUUUCUGUGGGUGCCGCGAAACAGAAUCUUAAAGCUAAUUUGGUCUUCAUACAUCUGCUAGUGUCUUUGUUCAUUUUGUAUUAAUUAUAAUAUCAUCUUAUGUGCACGUUAUAUUGUAAUACACUGGGGUAACACUUAACUUCUACUUUCUAGUAAUUUCCUCUCUCUAUGAUCAUUAUGAGCACAUUGAACGAGCUUUUCCCCGCAACUGAAGAUAAGUAAGGUUGACCGCGCUAAGAUUUUGACUUCAAAACGGAAACGGGUGGAGAGGGAAAGUCAAAAAUUAUGGGUAAACAUUGGCGUCACUACCCUUGUGAUUGGUUGGUCAUGUGUGAUUUGCCAAUAGCCUUGUUUGUUGGAAGAAGGAUAUUCUUCAUAUAUGUUUAGACUAAGUUUUCGUUUGGCCCUUGAGGUAAACAGUAAAAGCGUAUAAUAACGCGAUCACUAGAAUUAACCGAAGAAACGUAAAUACAUGCACCGUAACCAUGCUUACUCACAUAAAACCCAUGGAUUUCGAUCUGACUCUGAUUGUUGCUUAUCAACCGGCGAUCUAUGUUCUCAUUUCCGUCGUAAAGAGCGGAAGCUAAGAGUUAAAGCUAAUGCGCGAGAAUCGCCGAGAUCAAAGUGAUUAGCUCGAAAAGGCAAACGAAGACGUACAUAUAUGCCAUUUACAUUGCGUGUCGAAGUUUUUGCAUAAUGAUUUUCGCACGACAGUUCCUCCGCGGAGUUGAUGACGUCGUGUAGACGUCACUUAAAAUUUAGUCAACUGAUCGGACAAGCUAGCAAGCACUCGGUAACUUUUUCUCUACAAUAAACAUCGAAAACUGUGAAUUCGAUUAUUGUGCGGAAGCUGGUUAUAAUUAUUUAAAUAUUUAUUCAGUACAUAUGCUUUUCAAUUAAUUUACAAUAAGAUACUUAAUUUUAAUUGUAAUGUAAGUAGAAACGUAGGAGACAGUCAGGGCGUUUAUGGUUGAGAAGCAAAGUGUAACAAUGCUAACAACAUGUAACGCCCGGUAGGUAUCGUUUAAACAUUGCACAGAAGCACGCCUUGGUGCAUUAUACGUUCUUUCAAUUUCACAUUCCACUUGUAUUUUUUGCAGGUACCUCAGCUUCCGUUGGGUCACACAAUAGACGUGCGCCUAUGCUCAGUUUCGUGCGUUGUUCGAAGUUAUUGGACAAUGGAUGAAAGAGGUCGAGCCAUUCACACUUCAUCCGACAAAGAGACGUGCAGUGCUGCUAGCUGUGGGACAGAAACUGGUAGGCUGGACUUCCUGGCGAUAUAGGGACGAUUAAAUUUGAAUGCCCACGACUGAAUCAAUUGGGGAUGGUUCAUGCAAAAGCCCGGAAAUGCAGAAAAUGCAGCUUUCUGUUUUAAAUUCUGAUUGAAGUAUACCAAGCAUACUUGGCUGAUAUGAAGUGUCGUUUAAUUAUGGAAAAUGUAAUUAAAAUUCCUUGGCCAGAAGUUUGGAAUUAGCCCUGAAGGACUAAUAGAUUGCUGUGAUGUGCCGAAGAAGCAUGCUAUGAGUUGGAAGUCUGAGAUUUGUGGAGUAUCGAUAAAUUCUCCUGCUCCAACUUUUCUUGCUUGCACCACAGGCAUGGCUAAAGUACAGAAAUAUGCCAAUCAGACAUACCACAAGGUGCACUUUGGCUGGUCAUGACUAUUUCAGUCAACUCCCUUUAACCAAAUUUAGGAUAUUGCGAAUGCUGGGAAAACAAUAGAACACUAGACUGAGUUGAAAAACCAUAUAUUGUGCCUCGGACUAUAAGAGAAGUUGUAGAAACAAUGCUUUUCGUACUUUCGCAUGAUACAAACACUCUUCGCUUUAGACUGUAACUUGAAGGAAUGGAUCUAACGUGGUCUUCUUCAUUCCUAUUAAGUACUUUUAUUUUAAUUAUAUUAAGUUUUUUGCUUUUAGCUUUCAUUUCCAUUUUCAAUAUAAUUCAUAUAGCUUGUGUGUACUUGUAUACACUGUUGUUUCGAUCUCAUCAUCUUCUAAAAGUGGUAAAUGUCAUUGUAACAAUCAUUUAUGUCAAUAAACAGAUAUAGAAAUUAAUAAAAAUUAUACUUACUUAUCAAGAAAUCAUGGUUGUGUCACUUGAUUUUACCGUUUUUGACUGUCAUCGUACAAUCAAAUUGUGGUUAUUCCUCAAAGGUCUUUGUAAAUAUUGUUGCGUCUGGGAGUGGUGCAUGUGGC